rnacentral:rRNA from 1 species
AAGGAAUAUUGUGCAAUGGCGAAAGCCUGACACAGCGACGCCGCGUGGGGGAUGAAGGCUUUCGGGUUGUAAACCCCUUUUCUCAGGAAGAAYAAUGACGGUACCUGAGGAAUAAGCCUCGGCUAACUACGUGCCAGCAGCCGCGGUAAUACGUAGGAGGCGAGCGUUAUCCGGAUUUACUGGGCGUAAAGACGGGCGUAGGCGGCCUUUCAAGUCGGAUGUGAAAUCUCCCGGCUCAACCGGGAGGGGCCAUUCGAUACUNNUGGGCUAGAGGGCAGCAGAGGGAAGUGGAAUUCCCGGUGUAGUGGUGAAUAUGCGUAGAUAUCGGGAGGAACACCAGUGGCGAAGGCGGCUUCCUGGGCUGWUAGCUGACGCUGAGGCCCGAAAGCGUGGGGAGCGAACAGGAUUAGAUACCCUGGUAGUCCACGCUGUAAACGAUGGACACUAGGUAUGGGG